GGGUAAGUCUCUCACGACCAGCUCCUGCUAAAUCCCCCAGGUUGGGAACGAAGCAAGGGUAAGUGGUUGAGCGGUGCGAUGAGAGUAGCUUACCCAUU
rnacentral:SRP_RNA from 1 species